GGAAACUAACAUGGGAGAGAUGUUAGCGGUGUGAUUGGUUGGUGUGAUUCGUGCUAUCAGCUGUUAUUUCAGCAACAAGUGGUUAAUGACGAGACUAAAAUGCAUCUUGCUGAAAGUUCAGGUGACUUUGCAAGAUUGUUCAAGAGCACCAUGUUCUGCUACCUUCAUUCAAAAGUUUUUUGAUCUCUUUCAUGGGAUACAGGUUACAUCUAAGUGUGGUUUUACCAUUUAUAAAGACAUACCUGCCAGACCUCCCCACCUUCCUGAAGAACUCUGUGUUCCCUGCUCUAAUAGUAUAUUAUUUUGCAGGACAUUUGUCAAGCCGGCUGGUUGCUGAAAUGCGCUGGAAAGAUCCUCCUGUCACCAGAUAGCACCUGGCGGAGGGCUGGGAACAGUCAACUCUUCCCACUUUGAGCAAAUCUGGGACCAAAAUCCCUUCAGGAUUCACGGAGCUCGGAGGACCAUGUCAGGAACCAGUCGUGUUUAUUUUCAUAUGGUCCUGUUUCUUUUUUCCCCACUGAGAAAUUAUAUUUUCAUGGAACUGACUGAAAAUCAAAUAGAUUCUGUGGAGAAAUAACUUGAAAAGACAUUU
rnacentral:lncRNA from 1 species